AGAGAUUGGACUUUUGACUUGU
rnacentral:piRNA from 1 species